rnacentral:rRNA from 1 species
GACGAACGCUGGCGGCGUGCUUAACACAUGCAAGUCGAACGGAAAGGCCCUGCUUGCAGGGUACUCGAGUGGCGAACGGGUGAGUAACACGUGGGUGAUCUGCCCUGCACUUCGGGAUAAGCCUGGGAAGCUGGGUCUAAUACCGGAUAGGAGCCAUUUUUAGUGUGAUGGUUGGAAAGUUUUUUCGGUGUAGGAUGAGCUCGCGGCCUAUCAGCUUGUUGGUGGGGUAAUGGCCUACCAAGGCGGCGACGGGUAGCCGGCCGGAGAGGGUGGACGGCCACAUUGGGACUGAGAUACGGCCCAGACUCCUACGGGAGGCAGCAGUGGGGAAUAUUGCACAAUGGGCGCGAGCCUGAUGCAGCGACGCCGCGUGGGGGAUGACGGCCUUCGGGUUGUAAACUCCUUUCGCUAGGGACGAAGCUUUUUGUGACGGUACCUAGAUAAGAAGCACCGGCUAACUACGUG